rnacentral:rRNA from 1 species
AACGAACGCUGGCGGCAGGCCUAACACAUGCAAGUCGAGCGGGGACUUCGGUCCUAGCGGCGGACGGGUGAGUAACGCGUGGGAACGUGCCCUUUGCUUCGGAAUAGCCCCUGGAAACGGGGAGUAAUACCGGAUGUGCUCGAGAGAGGAAAGAUUUUUCGGCAAAGGAUCGGCCCGCGUUGGAUUAGGUAGUUGGUGGGGUAAUGGCCUACCAAGCCGACGAUCCAUAGCUGGUUUGAGAGGAUGAUCAGCCACACUGGGACUGAGACACGGCCCAGACUCCUACGGGAGGCAGCAGUGGGGAAUCUUAGACAAUGGGCGCAAGCCUGAUCUAGCCAUGCCGCGUGAGCGAUGAAGGCCUUAGGGUUGUAAAGCUCUUUCGUGGGGGAAGAUAAUGACGGUACCCCAAGAAGAAGCCCCGGCUAACUCCGUGCCAGCAGCCGCGGUAAU